rnacentral:rRNA from 1 species
GUAGGGCGCAAGCGUUAUCCGGAAUUAUUGGGCGUAAAGAGCUCGUAGGCGGUUUGUCGCGUCUGCUGUGAAAACCGGAGGCUCAACCUCCGGCCUGCAGUGGGUACGGGCAGACUAGAGUGCGGUAGGGGAGAUUGGAAUUCCUGGUGUAGCGGUGGAAUGCGCAGAUAUCAGGAGGAACACCGAUGGCGAAGGCAGAUCUCUGGGCCGUAACUGACGCUGAGGAGCGAAAGGGUGGGGAGCAAACAGGCUUAGAUACCCUGGUAGUCCACCCCGUAAACGUUGGGAACUAGUUGUGGGGGCCAUUCCACGGUCUCCGUGACGCAGCUAACGCAUUAAGUUCCCCGCCUGGGGAGUACGGCCGCAAGGCUA